AGUACAGACGUAGUUUGACUCCGUGGCUACAGAACGACGCUGGCGGCAUGCCUAACACAUGCAAGUCGAACGAAGGCUUCGGCCUUAGUGGCGCACGGGUGCGUAACGCGUGGGAAUCUGCCCUUGGGUUCGGAAUAACUCAGAGAAAUUUGAGCUAAUACCGAAUGAUGUCGAAAGACCAAAGAUUUAUCGCCCAAGGAUGAGCCCGCGUAGGAUUAGCUUGUUGGUGAGGUAAAGGCUCACCAAGGCGACGAUCCUUAGCUGGUCUGAGAGGAUGAUCAGCCACACUGGGACUGAGACACGGCCCAGACUCCUACGGGAGGCAGCAGUGGGGAAUAUUGGACAAUGGGCGAAAGCCUGAUCCAGCAAUGCCGCGUGAGUGAUGAAGGCCUUAGGGUUGUAAAGCUCUUUUACCAGGGAUGAUAAUGACAGUACCUGGAGAAUAAGCUCCGGCUAACUCCGUG
rnacentral:rRNA from 1 species